AAUUGUUUAUCCCCUAUAUACCAUGUUUACAUCUGUGACCUCGACAUACCAUAUGUUUAGAGGCUUUGCGUUGAGACUCGUCACGUGAAUCGAGCUGAGUUUCCUCUUGCCGGCGAGACGUAGUUCAGGCAGCUCCUGAGGUGAAGCUGUUUUCUUUGGAGUGGAGAACUGUAGUUUCAGACCGAGCUG